rnacentral:lncRNA from 1 species
AGGAAAACAGGCUGGUGACGUGUGUGUUUCCUGUGUUUCUUCACCUCUGCAGAUGCUCAGGAGCUUAAGACAGAAGGAUGCCAAAUCCAAGGAUAACCUGGGCAAAAGCUGCCUGCUGAUCCAGAUGUAAAAAUUUCUCCUCCAGCACCGUGUCUCCCUGAGUGCUGCCAAGCUUCCUGUCACGACAAUAGUCAACUAUACCUCUGAAACUAUCCUCUCCUAAUCAUUUGCUCUGCUAAUGGACUUUACAGUUAUCUUCAAUGCCUGCCAAUGUC